rnacentral:tRNA from 1 species
UGGUAGACGAUCGGCACAUGUCCUCGGACAUGGCCCGAUAUGAACCUUCCCGUGCUUUUUAGAACAUAGAUGGCACCAGUCAGGUGACCAUCGAAACGUAAUACGCCGCGAUGACUUCGGUCACGACGGUAUGGCGAGCUUUCGCCGUCCACGUUUCUCUUUCUUCAAGAAGACAAAAAACCGCGUCGAUCCAGUUUAGGCUGGGCCGGUUCCCCGAAUGGGCCCGUAGCUCAGUUGGUUAGAGCACACGCUUGAUAAGCGUGGGGUCGGAAGUUCAAGUCUUCCCGGGCCCACCAUUUGCACCAGCAAAUGAAGUUUGCUGUAGCCAAUGAGGGUUAGGGAUGAUGGAAUGUCAGGCGAUGCGGAUUGUUGCCGAACCUUGGGGUCUUGCCCCUGGGUGAUCGAGCUGGAGGGGCUGUAGCUCAGCUGGGAGAGCACCUGCUUUGCAAGCAGGGGGUCAGCGGUUCGAUCCCGCUCAGCUCCACCAAAUCGAUUGGUGUUGAAGCUGACGGUAACGGAGCGAAAGCUUCGCAAGCGCAAGGCGCGUCGCCAAUCGUUUGGCGCCCCCGCGGAGCGCCUUCGGCGCGUGAGCGACAAGAAUUGUCUUUUGAAGAAAUAAAAGUUUUGCAUCGGCUUAUGGCUGAUGCGUGUUCUGCAUACAUUGUGAAGAGAAGAUUGAUCUGGAGGCUUCCAGGUGUCGUGGGUUUUUAUCCAUGAUGUCCGAGCCCAGUUCCUGUGAAACCAUGGAUGGCCUAGCCGGCCGGAUGUGGUGGAGGGAUUGGAGGGUGGAAGGAAGCUUGUCACUCUGGAUCGUUCGUUGUUCGUUGCCUUUGGGCUUCGUCUGAUGAACGAUCGGAUUACCGUUGCCUGACCGCGCGGUAUCGGAUCAUAUCUCGAGAAGCUGGUCUUAAGACAGGCUGCAAGCGAGCUGCUCGGCGUAGCUCCAAUAAAGCAGACCUGUCGAACACGUUAAUGGCAUUGUUGGAUUGACUGGGUUGUAAAAGGUAACCCGGUCUGUUGCCGUUCCUUAUGGAACGGGCAACGAGACGAUGAGCAUUGGCAAUGAGAACGAUUAAGUGUCGUAAGGGCAUUUGGUGGAUGCCUUGGCAUGCACAGGCGAUGAAGGACGUGAUACGCUGCGAAAAGCCG